AACACACUGGGGGGAGUGCUGAGGUUUAGCUAGCCAAUUACCUAUUAAACUCGCCGACUGCCAGUCUGGCCAAUAUACUGCACUAGAGGAGCAUUGCUUAAUGCUAGGUAGCUAACGAACUGGCUAGCUAGCGAUUUAGCUAGCUCACUGAAGAAGGGCCCUAGUGUGUUUCUCCCACAGUCUACAACUUGCCUUUGCCUGCCUAACUAUACUGCAGUCAUGACCGCGGCAGGAGAUUUUGGAAACCCUCUAAGGAAAUUUAAAUUAGUCUUUCUUGGCGAGCAGAGCGUGGGGAAGACAUCAUUGAUUACCAGGUUCAUGUACGACAGCUUCGACAACACCUACCAGGCCACAAUAGGAAUAGAUUUUUUGUCUAAAACCAUGUACCUCGAAGACCGAACAGUGAGACUGCAGCUUUGGGACACAGCUGGCCAGGAGCGCUUCCGGAGUCUGAUCCCUAGCUACAUACGAGAUUCCACCGUGGCUGUGGUAGUCUAUGACAUCACAAACGUCAACUCUUUCCAGCAAACCACAAAAUGGAUUGAUGAUGUCAGAACGGAGAGAGGAAGUGAUGUCAUCAUCAUGUUGGUGGGAAACAAGACUGACCUUGCAGACAAAAGGCAAGUUGCUAUUGAAGAGGGUGAGAGGAAGGCCAAAGAGUUAAAUGUAAUGUUUAUUGAGACUAGUGCUAAAGCAGGAUACAACGUCAAGCAGACAGAUAACCACAGAGGAAGGGGAACAGAGAGCCAAAGAGCUGAAUGUUCUGUUUAUUGAAACAAGUGCAAAGACGGGCUACAAUGUCAAACAGCUGUUCCGACGCGUGGCCGCUGCCCUCCCUGGCAUGGAGAGCACACAGGACAAGAGCAGAGAAGACAUGAUUGACAUAAAGCUGGAGAAGCCCCCAGAACAGCCCAUCAGCGAAGGAGGCUGCUCCUGCUAACUCAACUCUUUAUCACUCAUUCGCUCUCUCUCCUGUGCUUUGUUCUUGAUCCUUCUCACCCUGGUUUAUUCAUUCCCCCUAUGUCUCUCUAUACUGUACCUUUUCUUUCUGCUUGACUGCUCUCCCUCUGUCUGAACCCCUUGAAUCCUGACUCCUUCUCCCCAGCCUGAAAGAGAAGAACACUACCUGUCCAUCAUUCUUGUCGUCGUGGUAACCCGCUCUCUCACUGAGAUGACCUUAAGCUUAACAAGCACAGUAUGGAUGUGAAGGCUAUUUUAUUUCAGUUGAUCUUUCACUCUACUUUGGCAAAAUCCCCCCAAAAAUCAAGCACUGUAUCCUAUUUUUCUGUAGUACCGAAAUGUUUGGUUGCACAGUUGUCAAAUGAUGGCAGCCUGUGAGGGACCUAGACCCAUAGAUACUGAGUGGAAUGUUUCUGCCAUAAGUGGGUCCUGAACGGAUUAUGACAGUUUAGCAGCCCCCAAUCAAUAUCACUCACUGGGUGAAAGUUGAGCAUAACAACCUCCCUUUCUAAUGCCUGUCCCACCACAGAGCAGCCAUACAGUGUCACUUCACAGAAACAUGGCAUGACGACACUAUAGGGAAACCACAAGAACUCACACACACACACAGUCCCACCACAAUGACGUGACAUUAUACAACACAAGGGCAGUCUCACUACCACUACACGACCGUCCUUAAUUUGUCCCUUACUUUUCCUCACAAAUGAAUGAAGGCUAUCUUCACCUUGGCUGCCAUUUUUCUAUUAUCUCUUGGUUAGGUCUUUACUUUUUUCUAAAGAGUACAAUUAUUAUCAUAGAUGAAAAUAUAUUGCUUUGGAGAACAGUAGUGUUUACGAAAAGAUUUUUGUAUAUUGAAACAAGUAUCAAAUUCAACACAAACCCAACUUCAUAAUAUAUGCAGACAUGCCUUUUAAAAGUGUUAAUUGUAGAGGGCUUCCAUGGUUUAGGGUUUUCCUAGCUUUGUUAGGUUUGUUAUAAUAUUGACACUUUAGAGUAAUUUCUUUUCUUUGCUUGUUUUUGUUUUGAUCUUUUAAUUAUUUUACAUGUUCAUUUUUAAUAAUGACUUGUAAUAUUUAUUUCUAAUAGAUCAUGUUUCUUCAUUUGUAUUAUUGUUAAUACUAUUAUUGUUGGGAUGAUCCCUAAACGGCUAAUAAGAGUAUUUUUGUCAACCACCUGAUUUUCAAACAUGUCUCCCAGCUCUUCUGGUGACAUCACUACCCCUCUACUCCACCCCAAAAUGCAAAUUUAACUGAAGAAAAAACAGUGCAAUGUUUGUAUGUUUUUGGAGGAAAGUCCACUUUUUUCUGGUAGUCUUAGUACGUAACCUUUUUUCUUUGAACUGGUUUUAACUGGAUGUUAGAGGUAAACUGUAACUGCUUUGCGCCGCCACGUCUCUGUGCAAUGAAGCGCAUAAUUUGCACUGCUAGAAUUCAUCAGUGUCUUAUCAACAUCCCUAAGAAAGGUCUGCAUUUAGUAACUGAAAUGUUGUUUUUGAUGGUUGAAUAAUAAAUUGAUAAAUGCUAGACAAGGCAAUCUGGAAA